CCAAUGAAAAUUCUUCGCGCCAUCUUAGAACUGGAAAUUCAUGGAGGAUUUGUGGAAAUUAUGUUCCCCACAAAGUUUUUUCGUCAGCAAUAAUAACGUAACUCUGUUAAUUAGAGAAUGGCAAACCACAAGAUAGGUGAUGAAAAAGUUUCAUUUUUAAGCACAUGAUAAUGUGUGUCAAAGUCAAGUCCACUGAAUAUCAGUUACAGUUGAAAGAUAUUUUAGAGCUUUCAGAGAAAUGAAUGGAAUCUGUCAUGAAUAACCUUAUGACAUUUAUAAAGAUCCAGUUGCUAUAUAAUGAUGAGCUUUUACAGAGAUGGAUUAUCCUCUGGAUAGAUGAAAUGAAAUGGGGUUAAUGUCCUACUGUUCUUCUCCUGUUUAGAAUCCAACUCUUCAUGAAUAUGGCAUUUAAAAAUAUCCAGGUGUGUUACAGUGAUACCACCAUCCACAUCAACUUCGUCAUGAGAACUGAAUUUAUUUGUGUUGUCCUGUAUAUAUUCAUUUAUGUUUGUAAUAAAAUGUUAAAUCUCAGAA